GCAAUGGUGGGUCAGUGGUAGAAUUCUUGCCUUCCAUUCAGGAGACCUGGGUUUGAAUCCAGGCCAAAGCA
rnacentral:tRNA from 1 species